rnacentral:rRNA from 1 species
AGUGAACGCUGGCGGUAGGCCUAACACAUGCAAGUCGAACGGCAGCACAGUAAGAGCUUGCUCUUACGGGUGGCGAGUGGCGGACGGGUGAGGAAUACAUCGGAAUCUACUUUUUCGUGGGGGAUAACGUAGGGAAACUUACGCUAAUACCGCAUACGACCUACGGGUGAAAGCAGGGGAUCUUCGGACCUUGCGCGGUUGAAUGAGCCGAUGUCGGAUUAGCUAGUUGGCGGGGUAAAGGCCCACCAAGGCGACGAUCCGUAGCUGGUCUGAGAGGAUGAUCAGCCACACUGGAACUGAGACACGGUCCAGACUCCUACGGGAGGCAGCAGUGGGGAAUAUUGGACAAUGGGCGCAAGCCUGAUCCAGCCAUACCGCGUGGGUGAAGAAGGCCUUCGGGUUGUAAAGCCCUUUUGUUGGGAAAGAAAAGCAGCAGGUUAAUACCCCGCUGUUCUGACGGUACCCAAAGAAUAGGCACCGGCUAACUUCGUG